rnacentral:lncRNA from 1 species
AAAGGGACAGUGCCAGGGAGCUAUCACAUAGCGCUGAAGGACACGGGUCACAUGGCAAAUUGGUGGCCGCUCAUAUUUUCUAAUUGUUCGUGGAAAGAAAACCCACUAGUAAGAUGUGCUAUUUGGAAAAUUGCUUUGCUCACACAAGAAGCUCAGUUGCUACCGACAGGACCAGGAUGAGAGACAGGAACAUCUCUCUACAUGAGACAAUUCCAAAGCUCUGGAGAGAUGGCAGGCAGUAGCUUUGUCUGUAGGGCCUGGUAAAGAAAAGGAAGGAAGGAAGGAAGGAAGGAAGGAAGGAAGGAAGGAAGGAAGGAAGGAAGGGACAUCUGUCCAUUUCUCUUGUCUGUGCCUGCAGAGGACAAUGCGGGUAACCAGGUCCCAAGCAGUCGAGGGAGCCUUCGGAGCCUGCAAGGCACAGAGCUGAGGAGAACAGCUCCUGAGGAGAGAUUCCUGACCAUGCUGCACGUCCUGAGAUCCUCUUCCUGUGACGAUGACACCACAGAGCUCACCGCUGUGACCUGAGAAGCAAGCACUCAUCCACAACAACAGGGUGUAAACUGGUUGUCAUCUUUAAUACAAACGUGUUGUCCUGGAAAUGAAUAUGUAAAUUGGCAUUCUUGUUUUUCCAGAAAACGUAAGUCUUUGUGAAUUUCCUCUGUAGAACAGAAGAACUUGAUGUCUGGAACUAGGUAAACAGUCAAAGGUCUGGCCUCAGUCUGAACCCUCCUGUAUGAAGGUAGAAGGAAAAUGUCUGCAUGGCAGGUCGAGUUAAGGCAGGCAGAGCUCUGAGGUGAGAUGGUUUGUUUCUUAGGGAUGAAUGCUUGUGGAAGGUAAGAGAAGGGAGCUGGUCGGGCAGAGGAAGGUCCAAAAGGUUUUGUCUGACAUAGCACAGAAUUCUGGGAUAAUACUAUCCCAAAUGGAUCAAACUUACACCUCCGCUAAACACUGUCACCAAAUGUCCCGAGCCCUGGGGAGAGGGAGCCUUUGGUCACCUCCGGGAAUAAACAAGCAAGCAAACAAAACCGCACAACAAGUCACUGACUGUUUACCCAGAGCCAAAUGUCAAUUCUUUCCUUGGGGGAGAUCUGGGCGGUUGAUCUUCACAACUUCUUAAGAAACCAAAGUCUGAAAGUGCAUUCUCCUGUAAGUUAUGUCAUUGACUGAGCCACCCGAUAAGGAGCUUUAGAGCAUUCAAUGAUUAAUGAUUACUUUUGUUAUUUUUAUUCUGGCCAUAUUUUUUUAUAUAUAGAAAUUUACCUUUUUUUUUAAAAGAUUUAUUUAUUUAUUUAUUUAUUACAUGUAAGUACAUUGUAGCUGUCUUCAGACACUCCAGAAGAGGGAGUCAGAUCUCGUUACGGAUGGUUGUGAGCCACCAUGUGGUUGCUGGGAUUUGAACUCUGGACCUUCAGAAGAGCAGUCGGGUGCUCUAACCCACUGAGCCACCUCACCAGCCCCUAGAAAUUUAUCUUUUACAAAAGUGAAAACACAGCAAGAUAGUCAGACUGAAUGAGAAAUCAAGUGAUUCUCUCCCACCCCUUCACCCCUAUCUAAUUUCUCCACCUGUUUCCACGCCCCAAUUCCAAGGCAGCGGACAUGUGUGGCCAUGCUCCAUGAUUACAUGGUUGUUAGUGAUUUGAACUCAGAUCUCCUUGCUCCCGCAGCCUAUAGUCACUCACUGACACAUCUUCCCAACUCUUCUACAAAGCAACUUUUGAAAAAAAGCAUCCCUCUUAAGAAUCUCCGACGCAGAGACUGGGGAGUGCUCUACCCGAGCGGGACAUACACAUCUGACCUGUGUGAGCUGGACAGCGGAUAGCAUCAGGGAAACAAUGCUUCCCGGACACAACAAGGCAGUUGCAGGUAUGGAUUCACAGGACUGUGUCAGCGUGCACAGAAUAGACAAGCUCAAUCCUGACAAAUCCUAGCGUAAGUUCCUUGUUAGUUACUUCUCUAUUGCUGUGAUAAGACACCGUGGCCAAGGCAACUUAUAGAAGAGUUUAUUUGGAGCUUACAGUUCCUGAGGGUUAGUGUCCAUGGCCUUCAUGGUAAGGGGCACAACAGCAGGCAGGCAGGAAUGGCGUUGGAGCAGUAGCUGAGAGCUCACAUCUUGAUCUACAAGCAUGAGGCAGAAAGAGUGCCAGAACAUGCUAGAAAUGGUAUGGGCUCUUGAAACCUCAAAGCCUACUCCAGAGACACAUGUCCCCCAACAAGGCCACUCCUCUAAGAGUCCCAUCAGCUGGGGACCAAGCAUUAAAAUAUAUGAACCUAUGGCGGUUAUUCACAUACAAACCACCACAGGGGGAUGGUGGCUAUGAAACCCCACCCUUAGCUGAGGCUCUGUUGGUAUUUGGUAGCUGAUGGGAGAGGACAGGUUAGUAUUGUUUAAUGAUGAGGACCCUGGUAGGUUGACCACACACAAG